GUGUGUUUUUCAAUUUAUUUCAUCUCAGUGUGUCUUUUUAAAAUCUCAGUGUGUAAUUUUGAAUUCUCAGUGUGUGUUUUUUAUUUUUUUAAAUCUCAGUGUGUAAUUUCGAUUUCUCAGUGUGUUAUUUUAGGUUUUUAAAUCUCAGUGUGUAUUUUUUUCGAAAAAAGGGUUUAAACAUAGUUUUGACGAGAACGGCUUGCCAUAAUAGAU
rnacentral:lncRNA from 1 species